GUCCCCGGCUGCGAUCAGGCCAAGCGCGCAGCGAUUUACGCGCAAAUCGCCCAGAAGCAGCAUGACGAUGUGGCCUAUGUCUGGACAUACGACCCGAAUGUCUUCCAGGUCGCGAACACCCGCAUCGGCAAUUUCAAUCCUGGCCCGUCGUGGGUUUAUUACGGCUAUACCGCUGACGUCAACCAGUGGACGCUGGGCAGCUAAUUCAACAGCGCCGCUUCACUGAGUUGAGUUAAGCA
rnacentral:misc_RNA from 1 species